rnacentral:tRNA from 2 species
GCGCCUGUAGCUCAGCUGGAUAGAGUACCUGGCUACGAACCAGGCGGUCGGGCGUUCGAAUCGCUCCAGGCGCGCCA